CCUACGGGAGGCAGCAGUGGGGGAUAUUGCACAAUGGGGGGAACCCUGAUGCAGCGACGCCGCGUGGGUGAAGAAGCGCCUCGGCGCGUAAAGCCCUGUCAGCAGGGAAGAAAAUGACGGUAACUGAAGAAGAAGCCCCGGCUAACUACGUGCCAGCAACGGCGGGAAUACGUAGGGGGCAAGCGUUAUCCGGAUUUACUGGGGGUAAAGGGGGCGCAGACGGCGAAGCAAGCCAGGAGUGAAAGCCCGGGGCCCAACCCCGGGACUGCUCUUGGAACUGCGUGGCUGGAGUGCAGGAGGGGCAGGCGGAAUUCCUGGUGUAGCGGUGAAAUGCGUAGAUAUCAGGAGGAACACCGGUGGCGAAGGCGGCCUGCUGGACUGCAACUGACGUUGAGGCCCGAAAGCGUGGGGAGCAAACAGGAUUAGAUACCCCAGUAGUC
rnacentral:rRNA from 1 species